ACAAUUUGGCACUGACUCUCUUUAUAAUGACAAAUAACGUCAGUGGGAUUGUUUUUGGGCAUAUUUAUACGUACAUAUGUGUUUUGAGUUGCCCGAAAUAUAUCUAGUUUUCAUAGUCAGGUUUGAACAGACGAGGUACGAGUGAAAGUAAUCGCGCUAAUGGUUUGGUAAUUUAAUCGGAAAUAAUGUUAUGUUUUGAUUGUUUAUAUUUCUCAAUUGUCGGAAUGUUACGAUGAAAUUUCAUGGACGGUUGAAUUGAAAGUUAUCGUUAGCUUUUUGGAUGUAAGCACACAAUAAAUUUCGUGAAUUGCAUUUAAUCCAGUAGCAUUUAAACCAUUUUUUCAUUCAUUUGCGUGUACUUUGUGAGAAGUCACUUUAGAAUAAUAAAAACGUUGGAGAUAAUGAACUUUGUUUUUAUAUUUAGAAAUAAAUCUCCUCUGUUUCAAUUGCGUACAUUUCGCAUAUUUUCUUCUGCAUCAUUAGGGAGUAGCAAGCAACAAUGAGUUUAUUCAUUGCUUGGAUAUGCUGUUAUUCACAUUUUCUAUUUAUAAUAUCUGGUUUUAAAAUAAGCUUUCGUUCAAAGCUAUCUGUCUCUAUCUAUCUAUAUCUGAAAGUAUAGAUACAAAAGAGUAAUAAAAUGAAGCACAUCUGUACAGCUGAGUUUUAAAAGCGAUUACCGAAAAUUCGCAUUGCUAUCGUAAAGAUGUGUGCAAGGGUAAUUUAUAAUUGCAAGGGUUAUAGGAAAAUAUUAGAUAAUUAAUUUUAAACAUUGCGUAUAGUGAGCCUAAUAUAAUUUUGCGACAAGAGUCACCAUCGUGGGUGCUCAAUGUGACCUGACUCUUAAAUGCACAUUGUUUCGCAUUGGGAUGACGUCGGGUCAGUGAGUGCAAAAUGUAGAUUAGUUGCACGUUUUUAUUUUCCACAAAAUGUUAUUAAAUAUUCGCAACCACUGCAUGCAAAUCGGUUUAUGGAUGUGUUAUUUUCAUUGCAAAUUAUUCAUGACUAUGAAGAAUAUUCAUUAGUAAUCUCGACCAUAAUUUCAGUAAUUUAAAUCCUGUUAUGUAGGUGAAUUCGGUUUCGUGAACUGCAGCACGAAAGCAAUGUUUUGAUGAUUCUCUGGAAUAAAUAGAAACGUUUCUGUGUUUAGCAAUUUCUAGUAGGCGGAGUUUCACAUAUUAAAAAACUUGAACAGUGCCAAUUGAACUAGGAUUCCAUGCAGCUAUGGCUUCGACAUUGUCACAACAACGCGAAGCGUCGUCAACACCAGAAUCACGGAACGCAAGAUAAGCAAGCAGAGGUUUUAGACCAUACCCAACGCUGGUUUCCAAGAAUCACUAUGGAAUCCAUUGAAAUAUUCAAACAUACGGAUAAUUUUAAUUGGAAGGAGCAUGUAAGUGCACUCAACCAGAACUUGAAGAGUGCACUGGGUACACGUCACCAACUCCAACAGAAGAAUGACUUAGAACAGAAUAUGUUUUUUUAUGCAUGUAAAAAACGCGGAACGCCGAAUGAUAUUUUCAACAGUAUAUUUAGGCCAAUGUAUGGAACGAUGUUCAGGCGAGUUUAUCGAUCUGUUUAAUUUGUAUUAAUCACCAAAAUAUUUUCAGAUAUUGACACGCAAUUGUAAAAAUGCCAGGGGCUGCGCCACAUUAAACGAUUUUGUAAUGGAGCAAAUUAAGACGAAAGUCGAACUUGUAACUAGUAAUGGUUUAAAAAAUUCUCUCGGAGAACCUUUCAAAUAUUGACCAAAUAAAAUCAUCGACAUCAAUUCUAAUAUCGACCAUCAAAAGCAUAACAUGAGGACCAAACAUUUCGUUUUCUUGAUGGAAACCAAAACAUAUAUUUUUGUGCUGAGUUUUCUCAAAAGAUGUUCGUAUUCAGGAGGUGCUCAGUAAAUGCCUAUAUAACCAGA